rnacentral:rRNA from 1 species
UACGGAGGAUCCAAGCGUUAUCCGGAUUUAUUGGGUUUAAAGGGUGCGUAGGCGGUUUGAUAAGUUAGAGGUGAAAUGUCGGGGCUCAACCCCGAAACUGCCUCUAAUACUGUUGGACUAGAGAAUAGUUGCGGUAGGCGGAAUGUAUGGUGUAGCGGUGAAAUGCUUAGAGAUCAUACAGAACACCGAUUGCGAAGGCAGCUUACCAAACUAUAUCUGACGUUGAGGCACGAAAGCGUGGGUAGCAAACAGG